rnacentral:rRNA from 1 species
UACAGAGGGGGCAAGCGUUAUUCGGAAUUAUUGGGUGUAAAGGGCGCGUAGGCGGCCUGACAAGUGGAAGGUGAAAUCCCUCGGCUUAACCGAGGAACUGCCCUCCAAACUGUUUGGCUUGAGACCGGGAGAGGUGAGUGGAAUUCCCAGUGUAGCGGUGAAAUGCGUAGAUAUUGGGAGGAACACCAGUGGCGAAGGCGGCUCACUGGACCGGUACUGACGCUGAGGCGCGAAAGCGUGGGGAGCAAACGGG